GGGUCCGUGGCUCAGUGGUUAGAGCGCUCGGUUCACAUCCGAGAGGUCCCUGGUUCGAUCCCAGGCGGGCCCA
rfam:Candidate division WWE3 bacterium RAAC2_WWE3_1 chromosome, complete genome.